GUUAAUUCCAAUCAAACUGUGCAAUUAGUUUUUAUUUUCGUCUAUAUUUAAUACUUUAUGCAUGCGUCUAAAUAUUCGAUGUGCUGGGGAAUCUGAAAAAUUUUGCAAAAUUUGUUGUGAACUAAAAAAGGCCUUGGCAUGAUGCAUCCAGCCACACUUUCUGGUUCCAGAAUAAAGACCCACGUCUUUUCUGCGUUCGGUGGCGUGGUCGGUUGGCGUCGGCUUGUCGCGGGGCGUUCAGCUCAGUCCUUCACAGCUUGUGUACACACAGCGCCUGCAAGAACGCAAAUUCAUUCAGACUGAAUUCAGAACGAGAGGCUUCACAACAGGUGCCCAAACAGAAUUAAAAAAAAAAGGCAUAGUUCCUCCAAGCGAAAGAGUGGUAUCAAGGAGGGAUUACUAGUCACUUUGUCAACACAAAAGUCAUACGAGCCUGACUCAUCGCGCGUCAGCACUGAAUCAGGCUGGCCGCACGUACGCGAACGCACCAAUAUAUUGUUUCCUUCAAAAAAAAUAUAAGAAAACAAACAAAAAAGACAUAAAACUGUGGGUUGGCGAAAUGGACAGCCUCACCUCCUCCUCAGCCUGCAGUGCCAGCCAAGACAACCCCUCGGCCUACCCGACUACUCAGCACCAAGAACAGACGGCCAAGUGCAGUCGCGCCUUUAUAUAAAGGAAUCCACCAGCAGC
rnacentral:lncRNA from 1 species